rnacentral:lncRNA from 1 species
UAAUGAAAUUAGGUGAAAUAAUGAAAUGAGAUGAAAUGAAAUAAUGAAAUUAAAUUGAGAUGAGAUGAAAUGAUGAGAUGAAAUGUUGAAAUGAAAGGAUGAAAUGAGAUGAGGGAUGAAAUGAUGAGAUGAAAUGAAUUGAGAUGAAAUGAGAUGAAAAAUGAUGAGAUGAAAAAUAUGAGAUGAAAUGAAAUGAGAUGAUAUGAAAUGACAUAAUGAAAUAAUGAAAUGAAAUUAGAUGAAAUGAAAUGAUGGUGAAAUGAAAUAAUGAAAAUGAAAUGGAAAUGAGAUGGGAUGAGAUUUGAUGAAAUGAUGAGAUGAUAUGAUGAAAUGAUGAGAUGAGAUGGGAUGAGAUGAAAUGAUGAGAUGAAGUGAUGCACUGUCACGUGUGUGUCUAUUCUUUUUCCCAACCAACAAAAAUUAUAAUUCAUUAAUUUUAAUUUUAUUAUUUAAGAAUAUUCUUAAGAGUUGAAGGAAAAAUAAUAUCUGUACAUUAUGGGUUACAAUCUAAGUAUAAAUAAUACAUAAAUAUAUUAAAACUUACAAAGUUUGUUUUGGAAUCGAAUACACCAUGCUUCUGUGAUGACAGUUAUUUCAUGCUGGUUGUAACAAUUUUACAUGAAAAACUAAUGAAAAAAUGUUUUUAACUGUUUCUAAAAAUAACAGUUUCCAAAAGAGUUUUACAUUCGAAAUAUGAAAAAGAUGUCUUUGUGUUCCUUAAUCUGAUGAGAUUUUCACACUCUGCACAUGAUAAUUGUUAGAUUUUUAUUCUGUUGAUAAAUUGUAUAUCAAAUAAAAAAUGUUAUUACCUCUUAAAUUAGGAUUUUUAGGUGAUAUAGGCAUAAAGGAAGGCAAGUUUUUAUAACUUUGUCUAAAUGAACUUUCUAAAUGCCUGAGUAUUAAAAGAUAGCUUGUCUAUAAAUCACAAUGUAUAUAUUACUGUAUGACCUAGGACCAAUCAAAACUGUUCUCUCUGAUAACAUUCUAUUGUGCCCAAUAUAAAAUAGAUAUAAUACCUCAAACUUAAAUCCAGGCAUUGUCAUUGAAUAUCUUAAGAAUAUGCAGCAAAGGUGCUUUUAAAAAUACAAGCUAGUGAUUAUACUAAAUUUGUAAAUCACAUAGGAUAGUGGGUCAUUUUAAGAAUAUUAAUUAUUUCAAUCUAUAAACGUGGAUGUCUUUCCUUUUUUGUGUUUUCUUUAAUUUCUUUCAUUAAUAUUUGUCAUUUUUGUUGUAGAAAUCUUUUACUUCCUUGGUUAAAUUUAUUUCUAAGUACAUUUUUGUAGCUAUUGUAAAAGGAAUUGCUUUCUUAAUUUCUUGUUUCAGCUAGUUUACUAUCAAUAUAUAGGAAUGCUACUGA